rnacentral:lncRNA from 1 species
GGGGUCAACUUAAUGACAAGUCUAAUAUUUAAGUACAGGGAAACUAAGCAUCCUUCAUUCAUACUUUUUUUGUAAAAGACAUGACUAAUUUAGCAACAGAUCAUAGGUGAACACAUAUCUGUCUGUCAUGGGUUGCAUCCUGCAUAUUAAUGGUUGUUACAGAAAAAAAAUACUCAUUUUGGAUAUCUAACUUUUUCAUUUCAAAUAAACUUAUUGAUUAUUUU